rnacentral:lncRNA from 1 species
AUCAUAAGAGUAUAGUAGGGUGUUUGCAUUAGUUUCACGAAGUUGAUGCAUUGCAUAAUACGAUGUGUAUGAGGCUGUGGAUAGACCAAGGCGACUCCAAUAGUCCAAACUCUGUUAUAAGACCUGGCCGGGCCAGGCAGCCAUCUGUAGGUAAGAGCUGACUAGAUCAGGCAGCAGAGAUAGUAAGACCUGGCUGGGCCAGGCAGGCAGAGUGGUAAGACCUGGCCAGGCCAGGCAGAUUGAGGUUGUAAGACCUGGCUAGGCCAGGCAUCCUUUGAGUGGGAUUUUUGGUGGUCAUGUCUAUCCCUGAGAUGAUGUGCUUUCGUGCAUUCCAUGAGAUGCUUUCACAUUAUGGUUUCUAGUUCUGCUCAUUGGGCUUGUAUAGCUCAUCCGUCUCCCCUAUCCCCCAGGUUUGCAGGUUCAGAGUCCAGAGGGAGUCCAGCAGGGUUUACAAGAAGCAGAGUUAUGUAAUAGCUAGUGUGGACAUGUACAUGUAAAGAGAUAAUGUAUAGUGUGUAGCUUUGUGCUUGACGUAUAAGAGUUGUAAUCCCUUGUUGUAGACACAUGAUCAGUUUAUGUAUGUUUCUUUUAUUGUUAAUGAAUAUGAGAAAACCAGGCUUAACAUUAUGAGUUGAUAGACCAGAAAUAGUGCAUGCACAGGUUAAGCCUUGGAGGAAAGAAAAGUUUUAAUGGUUUGACAGAACAUGUAUGAUCAUGUAUGGGAUGUCACAGGUACACAGACAGUAUAGCAGGCUUACUACGGGUCCCGGCGACCUUAAGUCGAUCUGGAUCCUAGUGCCGAUAGCAGUUCGGUUUCCG